rnacentral:rRNA from 1 species
CCUACGGGUGGCAGCAGUCGAGAAUCAUUCACAAUGGGGGAAACCCUGGUGGUGCGACGCCGCGUGGGGGAAUGAAGGUCUUCGGAUUGUAAACCCCUGUCAUGUGGGAGCAAAUUAAAAAGAUAGUACCACAAGAGGAAGAGACGGCUAACUCUGUGCCAGCAGCCGCGGUAAUACAGAGGUCUCAAGCGUUGUUCGGAAUCACUGGGCGUAAAGCGUGCGUAGGCUGUUUCGUAAGUCGUGUGUGAAAGGCGCGGGCUCAACCCGCGGACGGCACAUGAUACUGCGAGACUAGAGUAAUGGAGGGGGAACCGGAAUUCUCGGUGUAGCAGUGAAAUGCGUAGAUAUCGAGAGGAACACUCGUGGAAGGCGGGUUCCUGGACAUUAACUGACGCUGAGGCACGAAGGCCAGGGGAGCGAAAGGGAUUAGAUACCCGAGUAGUC